CGUAGGGUGCGAGCGUUAAUCGGAAUUACUGGGCGUAAAGCGUGCGCAGGCGGUUUAGUAAGACAGGCGUGAAAUCCCCGGGCUCAACCUGGGAACUGCGCUUGUGACUGCUAAGCUAGAGUACGGCAGAGGGGGUGGAAUUCCACGUGUAGCAGUGAAAUGCGUAGAGAUGUGGAGGAACACCAAUGGCGAAGGCAGCCCCCUGGGUCGAUACUGACGCUCAUGCACGAAAGCGUGGGUAGCAAACAGGAUUAGAUACCCUGGUAGUCCACGCCCUAAACGAUGUCAACUAGGUGUUGGGAGGGUAAAACCUUUAGUACCGGAGCUAACGCGUGAAGUUGACCGCCUGGGGAGUACGGCCGCAAGGUUA
rnacentral:rRNA from 1 species